rnacentral:rRNA from 1 species
GACGAACGCUGGCGGCGUGCCUAAUACAUGCAAGUCGAGCGGAACUGGGGGAGCUUGCUCCUUCCAGUUUAGCGGCGGACGGGUGAGUAACACGUGGGCAACCUGCCCUGCAGAUCGGGAUAACUCCGGGAAACCGGUGCUAAUGCCGAAUAGUUUGGCGCCUCUCCUGAGGCGCUACGGAAAGACGGUUUCGGCUGUCACCGCAGGAUGGGCCCGCGGGGCAUUAGCUAGUUGGUGGGGUGACGGCCCACCAAGGCGACGAUGCGUAGCCGACCUGAGAGGGUGACCGGCCACACUGGGACUGAGACACGGCCCAGACUCCUACGGGAGGCAGCAGUAGGGAAUCUUCCGCAAUGGACGCAAGUCUGACGGAGCAACGCCGCGUGAGUGACGAAGGUUUUCGGAUCGUAAAACUCUGUUGUGAGGGAAGAACACGUACCAACUAACUAUUGGUACCUUGACGGUACCUCACCAGAAAGCCACGGCUAACUACGUGCCAGCCGCCGCAGUAA